GAGAAAAAUAUACAGUUGAAUCAAGACUGACCAGUUUUUGAAACAACAACAACAGCAAGAAGCUAUAGCAUUUUUAAAAAUGUCCUUCAAAAAAACUCUUUGGCAGAGUUUAGACAUAAGGACAAUGGCUUGUAAUUAUUACUUUGAUAUUGCUUUAAAGACACAUAUUUUCUUCCCAAUUUAGUCAUUCCCAAUGUGUAACACUGUCCUGGCGAGGGUGUAGACUACCAAGUGAAUCCGCAAGUGAUGGAGAGAAAGAAGUUUCACCAGCAGAGUUUUUGGCUGUGCAGACGUCCACGCUUUCUCUCCCAGAUCCCACUACCUAACUUAUGGUUCAAGUACAUUUUUAGUAAAAAUACAUCUGUCUAUCCCGCUGGAACUGCAAAGAGUUUUUCCAAAAACUCUUACUGAGCAACCUUGUUCCCCAGAAAUUAUGUUCAUAUACUGAAUAAUAAUUCAUUUGCAACAGUGAAUAAGUCUUGAGAGAAAUGUAAUGUAAAGUGUUGCAUAUAACUAACUAUAUGCCAGACUCAGGAUGCAAGUCCUGGUCUCCGGUAUCAAAGUCCUGUGCUAAUAAUCCAGGCAGCAAUUACAUUUCCAUCAAAAGAAGGUAACUGGCAAAACAAAUUAGCAGUAUACAUAAUUUCUAGGAGACCGGGUUGAAUUGACAUACCAUAGAUUUACCCUGUUUGGAUCAUUAAAUUCUGGUGUCAGCUGUUUCUUCUUUGCCCACAGGGUGUACCAGGGCAAAAAAUACUACUGCCGUUCAAUUAUGAGGGUGGAAAUAUUGAUCGCCGCUCCAUUUGUCCAACACCUUGUAUCUCAAGGAGGCCAGAUUGUCAUGAAGUCUGGCUUGGAUGAUCCCCAAAAGAUCCUUAAUGUUUUUGCAACACUUCAAGGCCAAAAUAUCCACAUUUGGAUCUAAUGUGCAGAUUGCCAUGAAACUUGGUCAACACAUACAAUAAACCCUUUUUAGUUCAAUAACCCCAUGACCUUUACUCGAGCAUCAACUUCAGGACAAGCACUUUUUGCCUCACCAUUGAUGGAACAUACAGGACUUUAAAAUGGAGAAGAGCUUGCUUCAGCCGGAGUUUUGUCCCUUCUGCCAUAGCAGUCCGGUACAAAGUGCCUUGCUGACACUGUUGUGAGCUGGGAUACUGGAAGGGGCAUGAAUGAAUGGAGACAUGAAGAUUUGAUUUGAUUGAAGUGUUGCCUAUAUCGGUAUGUUGCUGUGUGUAUAUCUGUACUGUAUGCUUCUGUGUUGUGCUGGCUGUGAAAACAAAUCUCCCUCUUGGACAAUAAAUCUAAAUCUAAGUGUGGGAGAACUGCAAAGGAAAAAAAGGUGUAAUGGGAGAAAAAGUAGAUCUAUGUAUCUAUGUAGAGUCACACAUGUCUGCGCUAACUGCCAAUUUGGUAUUAAUAUGUGGCUACAUAGGCCUAUUCAUUAAGUUUACUACCUGGAAUUAAUUUGUCAACAGCUCAAAAACAGAUGAGGGCAGGUUACAUUCAGCAACAGUCUUUAGAUGUGAUUAAAUAACCAUAAACAUCUGUUAAUAUCUUUUAUAUAUCUUUUCAACUGGCUCAAAAUACUUUCUACAUUCUUAUGGUAGUUUUUACAGGCUGGAAAAUGUUGUCAACUAAAAAGAAAAAAGGUAUAAUUUCUGUAAUUGUGUCUUUUAAAAAAAGGUUCCUCCUGAUAGAGUAAACCGCAUGGUCCUUUCCCAUAACACCUCUAACUUGCCUCUAAAUCCUUCCGCAACUUAUAGCUUUGAGCUUCAUUACCCUGAAGGAAGUUGGUUUGCAGCCAAGAGAUCACAAAGCACAAACAAGCAUCUGUAUUCAAUUCAUUGCAUUAACGUUAAUAUCAAAAUAUUAAUAGAGACACUCCUGCCAACUUAAUAAAAGAAAUGAUUAGAGCCAAGACAUGUGAACUGCAAAUAAGGAGUCUUUCAGAAUAAAGUGCUUGACUGAAGUGCACUUAUGUUAUGCAAAUAUGUUGACCUGUUGAGCCGUUUGAUAGCUAAAGGAGCCUCUUACUUAACACUUUGUCUCACUGGUUAAAACAUCCUUACUGCUGGUUCCUUGGGAUAAUGGUGAUUUGGGAGUUUUAGGAAGUAAAGUUAUUGAGGAACUUCAGUUUAGAGCUGAAAUUAUCAGUCGAUUAAUCAAUUAGUCAAUCAAGAGUGAAAAUAAUCGAACACUUUUGGUCGUUUUUCAAGCACAAACAGCAAACAUUCUCUUGUUCUUGCUACUCUAAUGUGAGGAUUUGGUGCUUUUCUUUGCUUUAUAUUGGUGUCAGGUGAAUAUAUUUGUAGGACUGUAGGUCAGUCAAAACAAGACAUUUAAAUAAGUGUUUGCUGCAGCGCUACUUCAGGUAACAAUGUAAAUUUAAUUACCUUUGACAUUUAAGACCCAUCAAGUGACACGUGGUAGAAGACAUCUCAUUUUACAUACAACACAUUGGACUGUUAUUGCAACUCUUAUUGGUUUCUGCACUUGUCCCUUGUAAAUAAACGUUUUCUUGAAAUACUUCAGAUAAGCAUUAAACAUGAAAUAAGAGACUAAAA